rnacentral:tmRNA from 1 species
GGGGUCGUUCUGGUUUUGACGGGGAACCGAUCUUGCCUGGACUGCAGUAGCGUGAUGAGCUUUAACAUCAAAAAACAAUAACUGACAACAGUUAUAUCUAUGCGAACCGCGCUCAACGCGUUUCGUAUGCUGCCGCUUAAUAGUAACCUACGGGUUUCCUAGCAUCGUCUAGGAGGAGCACGUCCUCCGUUAGUUUCGCAUCUUACUAACGGGCAGGGCGCUAAAUAAGAUGAUAAGCGCCAAUCCUUGGCUAGGGAAAGGCGACGAAAACCCUCUUAGCCUCGCUAAUUGGAUUUGGUCUUAUCGUACCAAUUAGUUAAAUUAUGAUAGGACCUAAACUGUAGAGGUCCUUGUGGGAGAUUCUUCGGACAGGGGUUCAAUUCCCCUCGACUCCACCA